rnacentral:lncRNA from 1 species
GAGACUAAAAAGUCCUGGUUCCAAACCAGGGUGUAUGAGUGGGACCCCUGCUUUCAGUUCCCAAGCAGAAUGAUUGGAACCACUGUGUUGGCUUUCAUAUGCCUGUACCUUGUAAGUAGAUCCAAGCAAACCCUUUCCUAUUUUAUAAGUGGGAUGGGGUUAGGGCAGGGCUUAUUCUUUAAAAGCUGGGUCAAGGGGCGCCUGGGUGGCGCAGUCGGUUAGGCGUCCGACUUCAGCCAGGUCACGAUCUCGCGCUCUGUGAGUUCGAGCCCCGCAUCAGGCUCUGGGCUGAUGGCUCAGAGCCUGGAGCCUGUUUCCGAUUCUGUGUCUCCCUCUCUCUCUGCCCCUCCCCCGUUCAUGCUCUGUCUCUCUCUGUCCCAAAAAUAAAUAAAUGUUGAAAAAAAAAUUCUUUAAAAAAUAAAAAAAAAUAAAAAAAAAAAAGCUGGGUCAAAAUUGAGUCUGUAAAUAAAAGAAGUACAUUUUUUUGACCACCAUUUUUACUCCAAGGACACUUUUACCCACAUGGUGAAUAACUAAUAAAUAUAAUUGAAUUAUUUAUGGAGACUUCCGGUUGUCAGUUCCAUGUAAAGAGCUUGCAAGAUGCCAGUCCAUCCUAACAAGUAAAAAUCUGAACAAACUGAAACUCAACAGUUCUUAGAUCCAUAAGAGAAGUCAUGGCACAAACCAUUGUCCCUGAAAUUGGAGACAGGUGGAUCUAAAGAAUUACAAUGGAAUGGAGCAAAUCAAAUCCAGCAAUGUAUAAAAAGAAUUAUACACCACAACUGAGUUGGAUUUAUCUCAGGUAUGCAAACCUGGUACAAUAUUAAAAAAGCAAUUAACGUAAUCAACCACAUCAACAGCCGAAAGAAGAAAAAUCCCAUGAUCGUAUCAAGAGAUGCAGGAAAAACAUUUAACAAAAUUCAACACCAGUUCAUGAUAAUUUUUUUCAAUAACCUAGGCAUACAGGGGAACUUUCUCAAUCUGAUAAAAAAUAUGAACAAAAAAAUCUACAGCUAGCAUCAUACUUUAUGGUGAGAAAUUAGAAACUUUCCUACUAAAUUCAGGAAAAAGGCAAGACUGUUUCCCCUCAUCACUCAGCAUUUACUUAGGAAAUCCUAGCUAGGUAAUAAGACAAGAAAAGCAAAUAAAAGGUAUACUGAUAGGGAAAGAAGAAGUAAAAAUGUCUUUGUUCACAGAUGACAUGAUUGCGUAUGUAGAAAAUCCAAAAGAAUCAGCAGAAAACUCCUGAAGGGGCAUCUGGCUGGUUCAGUUGAUAGCGUGUGUGACUCUUAAUCUCAAAGUUUUAAGUUCGAGCCCCAUGUUGGGUGCAGAGAUUACUUAAAAAUAAAAUCUUGAAAAUAACCCAACUCCUGGAACUAAUAAGCAGUUAUAGCAAGGUUGCAAGGUACAAGGUUAACCUACAAAAGUCAAUUGCUUUUCUAUGUAUCAGCAUUGAACAAGAGGAAUUUGAAAUUAAAGAAACUAUCAUUUACAAUAGCAACCCCCCAAAAGGAAUACUUAAAUGUAAAUCUAAUAAAAUAUGCACAAAGAUCUAUAUGAGGAAAACUACAAACCUGUGUUAAAAGAAAUCAAAGAAGAACUAAAUACGUGGAGAGAUAUUCCAUAUGUGUGGAUGGAAAGAUUCAGUAUUGUCAAGAUAUCAGUACUUCCCAACUUGAUCUACAUAUAUUGGGAUUGAUCUAUAUUGGAAUUCAGUGCAUCUCAAUCAAAACUAGGGGGUUAUUUUGUGGAUACUGACAAACUGGUUCUAGAGUUUAUAGGGAGAGCGAAAGACUCAUAAUAGCCAACAAUAUAUUAAAGGAAAAGAAGAAAGUUGGAGGACUGACACUACUCGAUUUCAACUUACUACAAAGCUACCCUAAUCAUGAUGGUGUGAUGUUGCCAAUAUAGACAAGUGAAUCAAUGGACAGGAUAGAGAGCUAAGAAAUAGACCAACAUAAAUAGAGUCAGCUUAUCUUUGACAGAGGGGCAAAGGCAAUACAAUGGAGCAAAUAUUUUCUUUUUAACAAAUGGUGCUGGAACAACUGGACAUCCACAUGCAAAAAAAAAUGAGUCUAGACACAGACCUUCCUAAAUAUUAACUUAAAAUGAAUCACAGACCUAAAUGUCAAAUGCAAAACUAUGAAAUUCCUAGAAGGUGAAAUCAGAGAAAAUUUAGAUUAACUUGGGUUUGGUGAUGACUUUUUAUUUUUUUAAUUAAAUUAGUUAUUGUUAUUAUUUGGCAUUACCAAUUAUUUGAGACUGGUAGUGAAUUUAUGCAUGAAUGUAUGUUUGUAUGUAGGUAUGUAUAUAUAUUUUAAUUUCAGUGUGGGCAACAUAGUGUUAUAUUAUUUCAAGUAUACAGUAUAGUGAUUGAACAAUUCUAUACAUUACUCAGUGCUCAUCAUGAAAAGUGUACUCUUAAUCUCCUUCAUCUGUUUCACCCAUCCCCCUACCCACUUCCCCUCUGAUAACCACUAGUUGGUUUUCUAUAGUUAAGUGGUGAAAAUUUUUUUAGAUAUGAUACCAAAGACACGAACCAUGAAGGAAAGAUUGAUAAGCUGGACUUCAUUAAAAUUAAGACGUUUUAAUCUGCAAAAGACUCUGUCAAGAGAGUGAAAAGACAAGGAGAAAAUAUUUGCAAAAGACACAUCUGAAACAGACUGUUACUCAAAGUAUACAAAGAACUCUUAAAAUUCAACAAUGAGAAAACAAAUAAUCCGAUUUAAAAAUGAACCGAAGACCUUAAUAGGCAUCUCACAGAGAAGAUAUACAAAUGGCAAAUAAGCAAAUGAAAACAAGUGCACAUUAAAACAACGAUCAAAACAACUACUGUACGUUAAAAUACUAGAAUGGCCAAAAUUCAGAAUGCUGACAAUACCAAAUGCUGACAAGGGUGUGAACUGGCAGGAACUCUCAUUCAUUGCUGGUGGGAAUACAAAUGAUACUCUUACCAUAUGAUCCAGCAGUCACUCUGCUUGGUAUUUACCCACAUGCACUGAAAACUUAUGUGCACACAAAAACGUGCACAUGGAUGUUUAUAGCAGCUUUACACAUAAUUGCCAAAAUAUAGAAGUGACCAAGAGCCCUUCAGUAGGUGAAUGGAUAAAUAAUCUUUAGUACAUCCAGACAAUGGGCUACAAUUCAGCACUAAAAUGAAAUGAACUACCAAGCCAUGAAAAGACCUGGAAGAAACUUAGAUACAUAUUAAUAAGUGAAAGAUUCCUAUUUGAAAAGAUCACAUGUUCUAUGAUUCCAACUGUGUGACAUUUUGAAAGGCAAAAUUAUGCAGACAAUAAAAGAUCAGUGGUUGCCAAGGAUUGGGGAGACAGAGGGAUGAAUAGGCAGAACACAGAGGAUUUUAGAACAGUGAAAAGACUUUGUAUGAUACUAUAUGGUAGAUACAUGUCAUUAGACAUUUGUCCAAACCCACAGAAUGUGCAACACCAAGAGCGAACCCUAAUGUAAACUAUGGACUUUGGGUGAUCAUCAUGUUUUUUUGUAUAGGUGUGUUAUUUAAGUUUGCUUUCUCAACAAAAAAAUUUUUAAUGUUGCCAUAAUUCUGACUUUCAUAUUUUAUUAAGCACAGAGCCAAAACAUUUCACGUGGUCAAAGUUAUCUGAGGUAAAACGUCUGAGUCAAAAGGAGAGUCAAAAUGGAGAGAUAGAAGUGGAAGACCAUAUUGUCUUCUGGAUGAUACCUAUAUAAAUUAAUCCUGUGAUUAAGUUAAAAAAAGUUUUUAAUGUUUGUUUAUUUUUGAGAGAGAGAGACAGAGCAUGAACAGGGGAGGGGCAGAGAGAGAAGGAGACACAGAAUCCGAAGCAGGCUCCAGGUUCUGAGCUGUCAGCACAGGGCCUGAUGUGGAGCUUGAACCCACAAACCUUAAGAUCAUGACCUGAGCCGAAGUCAGACACUUAACUGACUGAGCCACCCAGGCACCCCUCCUGUGAUUAAGUUUUAAAUGAAUGUAUGAGUUAGGUAAUGCUGGAGUACCACAUAACCCCCUAAAUUUUAGUAACUUAACACUAUAAAUACGUUUGCCUAUGUAACAAUGUUGAGUAGGUGUUCAGGUUUGGGGGGCAACAGUCCUCCGUGUGUUAUUCUGUAACUGAGAUUCUUCCAUCAUGUGCUUCAUUAUCCCGAGAACCUUCACCCUCUGUAUCCAGUCAACAGAAGGGGAAGGUGCAUGGAGAAAUGCAUGUGGGAGGUUUUCAAAGUGCCCUUGUAGAAUAGCACACAUUCCUUCCACUCAUCUUCCAUGGGCAAGAACCUCGUCACAUGGCCACAUCCCUCAAGGGAGGCUGGGAAAUGUAGUCCAGUUUUGUGCCCAAAGAAGGGGAGAAUGGAUUUUAACUGACAAGUGGAGUUCUCUGCAACGUGAGUAAUUGACUUGGAAUCAUUGUGUUCCUUUAGUCUUUAGUGGUUAUCUACUGUAUGCCAAGCACCAUGCUAAGACCUGGAAGAGAGAAGAGAGCUGAUUCAGCAGAGUCUUGGCCUGGGAGAGACCCAUGGUCUAAGAGAAGGGGAUAUGACAUGGUAUGAAGUAUGUGCCAUGUAAAGAGAGACAAAGAUGAGGUGAAAGUGCUCUGAAAGUUUAGGGCAUUAUUCGAGAUUGAGAAGCUGCCUGAAGAUGGUGGCAUUUGAGCUGCACAAAGACAAACAAAAUUUGGUUAAUGAAGUAAAAUGGCAGUAGGAACUGUUGAAGCUUUGGCAUGGUGGUAGAUGGUAUAAAGGCAUGAUGACAGGAUUAUGGGAGUGAGAAAGUGUGGCGUGUAUACAGCAAACAGUACUUUCUCCAACGUGGUUACCACCAAGAUGCAAGAAGAAGAGUGGGGAGAGAUAUGGCUGGAAUUGUCGCCAAGGUCACUUCUUAUUCAGAGUUAGACAUUCAUUUCACUUUGAGGUAAUUAAUGUUUGAGGACUGACUUGAGCCGUUGUAGGACUUAGUCUUAUAUGCUGUGGGGUGCAGAAAAGAGUUUGGGGUGGCUCCAAAGAUGUCUUCGGAGAAGUCACAAUCCAACUCAUCUUGGUAUAGCCAGUGGUCAGAAUCUAUUUCAUAUGCGUUUUGAACUUCAAAGAGUUUGACCUCAAAACCAAAGAGAGGUCCAUAUGUUAUUUACAUAGUAGGCUGGACUCAGGUGAGACUUUGAAAUGUUUGCUCUUUGCACCAGUUCAUUGUCAUUGAGUUCUGCAUGUUCAUCUAUGUGAGAGACGAGCUGGAUGUGUUUGAAGGGGAGCUGGAGAACUACAUCGCCUCCAUGAACCAGACGGGGACCCUGACCCCUGUCAUCCUGCAGGUGAAAGAGCUGAUGAACGUCAGCAAAGGUAAAACCAUCCUGCUCCCUUUGUUGGGAAAGUGUGGGAAACAGAGAAAAAGACUUACAACUGGUGGCAGGUGCACACCUGGAAUAAUGAUCGCUGUAGUAUUGCUACUACCUGCAUGAGGUGACUGGUUUGGGAGGAAAAGUGGGUUACAACGGAUCUAUGCCUCCUUGGAUGACUAGAAGGCCAGUGGGGUCAGGACCCAGGCCACUUUGUUAAAAACUCUUUGGGGCUGAGUUGAACAUCCCUGAGAAUUUUCUCAUUUUAAAUAGCCUAUUUUGUUCUGGUGCCAGUGGGAACAACUAAAAUCAUCAUAUAUUUUUCACUUUGGAAAAAAGAAAACAGCAAGCCUUGGCUUUUCUUUAGGAUUAUAUGAAAAAUGUAUUUAUGUUGUUCAGAUUUAAUUUCUGCUUAGUUCAGGCUGCUAUACCAAAUUACUGUAGACUGGGUAGCAGAAACAACACACACUUGUUCCCCCGUUGGGGGGUCUGGGAAGUUCAAGGUGCUAGAAGAUCUGGUGUCUCAUGAAGCCUUGCUUCCUGAUUUCCAGAUGGCUGUCUCUUUGCAUCCUCAGAUGCUGGAGAGCAGGGAGAGGAAGCAGGCCCUCUCCUGUCUCUUAUAAGGGCACUAAUCCCAAAAGCCACAUCUCUAAACACCAUCAUACUGAGGGUUAGGGCUUCAACAUGUGAAUCUGCCCAUAGCAGCCACUUUACCUUAAAAAAGCAGCUUUCUUUGAAAACAUUCUAAUUCUGCGCCCAUUGCCCACAGAGGGAGGAGAGUUCUUCCCUCUUGCCUGCUGAGAAAGGCCCUGGAUAAGAAGUCAGGUAAACUCUGUGUCAUCAGACAAGUUGGGUCCUCUCUCUUGCAGCUUGGUUUCCUCAUCUUUAAAAUGGGGCUUGGAGGGGCGCCUGGGUGGCUCAGUUGGUUGAGCGUCCAACUUCAGCUCAGGUCAUGAUCUCACAGUCUGUGAGUUCAAGCCCCGUGUCGGGCCCUGUGCUGACAGCUCGGAUCCUGGAGCCUGCUUCAGAUUCUGUGUCUCCCACUCUCUCUGCCCCUCCCCCACUUAUGCUCUGCCUCUCUCACUUUCAAAAAAAAUGAAUAAAUGUUAAAAAAAAAUUUUAAUGGGGCUUGGAUAGGGGUGCUAAGGUUUCCAGAAGCCUUUGUGGCACUGACUUUUAGUGGCCAUAAAAUACAAAGUGCUCCUUAAGCCAUGAAAUAGGUGUUGCCAAUGAUAUGUUUACUUAAGACUCAUAAACUAGUAGAAAUAGAUCUAGUGUGGAUUAUUUGAAGAAAAUUCCCUUUCAUACAUGUGACAUGGGAAGUUACCUUUUUUUUUUAAUUCAAGUUGGUUAACAUACAGUCUAGUCUUGGCUUCAGGAGUAGAACCCGGUGUUUCAUCUCUUACAUAUGACACUCAGUGCUCCUCCCAAAAAGUACCCUUCUUAAUGCCCAUUACCUAUUUAAUCCAUCCGCCCACCUACCAACCCUCCAGCAACCCUCAGUUUGUUCUAUUUAAAAGUCUCUUAUGGUUUGCCUUCCUCUCUGUUUUUAUCUUAUUUUUCCUUCCCUUCCCCUAUGUUCAUCUGUUGUGUUUCUUAAAUACCACAUAUGAGUGAAAUCAUAUCUGUUUUUCUCUGACUUAUUUCGCUUAGCAUAAUACCCUUUAGUUCCAUGCACAUUGUUGCAAAUGGCAAGAUUUCAUUCUUUUUUAUUGCUGAGUAGUAUUCCAUUGUAUGUAUAUGCGUAUGUGUGUGUGUAUAUAUAUAUAUGUAUAUAUGUGUGUAUAUAUAUGUGUGUGUGUGUAUACACACACACACACAUGUAUAUAUAUAUAUAUAUAUAUAUAUAUAUAUAUAUACACACACACUACAUCUUCUUAAUCCAUUCAUCAGUCUAUGGACACUUGGGUUCUUUCCAUAAUUUGGCUAUUAUUGGUAGUACCACUAUAAACAUUGGGGUUCAUAUGCCCCUUCAAAUCUGCACUUUUGUAUCCUUUGGAUAUAUACUGAGUAGUGUAAUUGCUGUGUCAUAGGGUAGUUGGAAAGUUACCUUUUAUGUGAACACUGGGGCAGAUACUGCUUCUUCCCUAUCACCACAUUUUAUUGUUGCCCUUAAACAUCUGUAUUCACCUUUAAUGUUGAUUUAUGCUCCGCCUUAUGAGUCCCUGAGUACAGCACUCAGCAAACAUACUCUAAUCUUUAAAUUCAGCAAUACUAAUUUUAAGUCAUACUUUUUUAAGUUUACAUUUCCACCCCUCUUCUGGGCAAGUUUUUAUUUUUUUUUUAUUUUUUAAAAGAUUUUAUUUUUAAGUCAUCUCUACACCCAGUGUGAAGCUUGAACUCACGACCCCGAGAUGAGGAGUCUCACGCUCCGCUGACUGAGCCAUCCAGGCACCCCUGAGCAAGUUUCUAAUGCCAACUUCAGUUACUUGCUCUGGGUGAACUGUAGUAACUGUAUCAUCUUAUUCAUUCAUGGUUUACCUGCUCUUUCAUGGAUUUGCUCACAUGUUUAGAUACUUUGAGAAUCAAAAUAUAAAAAUCACUCUGUCUUGAUUUUUUCCAGCUUUAAAACAGCUGCCCUCUGGCCAGGAGAGACUUCAAGCUGAACAUGCUUCAUCUUUGGGAAGAUAAAGGCAUUAAAUUAAAGGUGUGCAGUCAUGUUCUUGCUGCUGGCUGGAGGGAGUCUGCACUCACUCUCCUUGUGGCCAGACUCCUCUAAUCCUUUCCUUCAAGGAUCUCUGCACCCCCCCAGGGGUGACACUUGGUGGUUUACCAGCUUCCUUUUUAUUGAUUGAGGUUUGGGAUAUAGCUGUUGCCUAAUCCUAGUGAUUUCUGGGAUGGAGACAUAUUUGAAACUUGAAAGGAAUGAAAAUCAGUUUCUUUUCCUUCUUUUUAAGAGAACUUUUUGAAGAUUCAGUUAACACACCAUACAAUUCAUCCAUUUAAAAUACAAUUCAGCGGGGCGCCUGGGUGGCGCAGUCGGUUAAGCGUCCGACUUCAGCCAGGUCACGAUCUCGCGGUCCGUGAGUUCGAGCCCCGCGUCGGGCUCUGGGCGGAUGGCUCAGAGCCUGGAGCCUGUUUCCGAUUCUGUGUCUCCCUCUCUCUCUGCCCCUCCCCUGUUCAUGCUCUGUUUCUCUCUGUCCCAAAAAUAAAUAAACUUUGAAAAAAAUUUUUUUAAAAAAAUAAAAAAAAAAAUACAAUUCAGGGAAACCUAAGUGACUCAGUCGGUUAAGUGUCCGACUUCAGCUCAGGUCAUGGUCUCACAGUUCUCAAGUUCGAGCACUGUGUCAGGCUCUGUGCUGACAGCUCAGAGCCCGGAGCCUGCUUCAGAUUCUGUGUCUCCCUCUCUCUCUGCCCCUCCCCUGCUCAUGCUCUGUCUGUCUGUCUGUCUGCCUCUCUCUCAAAAAUAAAAUAAACAUUAAAAAAAAUUUUUAAGGCACCUGGAUGGCUCAGUCAGUUAAGCAUCUGACUUUGGCUCAGGUCAUGACCUUGCAGUCUGUGAAUUCGGGACUCUGUGCUGACAGUUCAGGGUCUGGAGCCUGCUUCUCAUUCUGUGUCUCUUCUCUCUCUGCCCCACCCCCACUCAUGCUCUGUCUCUCUUUCUCUCUCUCUCAAAAACAAAAUAAGCAUUAAAAAAACAAAAAGAAAAGAAAGUACAAUUCAGUGGGUUUAAUAUAUUCUCAACCAUCACCAUUGCACAACCAUCACUACAUCAAAUUUAGAAUAUUUCCAUCACCCUAAAAAGAAAUCAUGACCAUUUGUAAUCCCUCCCCAUUUCCCUUUAACUCUCCCAGCCCUAGAUUACCACUGUUUUCUGGCUCUGUGGAUUUGGCUAUUCUGGACUUCUUAUAUAAAUGGAAUCAUAUAAUAUGUGGUCUUUCUUCAUUGAUUUCUCUCACAUAGCCAAUGUUUAUAAAGUUUAUCUAUGUCAUAGCAUGUGUCCCAAUUUCAUUAUUCUUUAUUGCUGGACUUUAAAAAUAAUAUUUAAGUUUAUUUAUUUAUUUUGAGAAAGAGAGAGAGAGAGAGAGAGAGAGAGAAGGGCAGAGAGAGAGAAGGAAAGAGAAUCCUAAGCAGGCUCUGUGCUGUCAGCCCAGAGCCUGAUGUAGGGCUCUAACUCACGAAUGGCAAGAUCAUAACCUGAGCCGAAAUCAAGAGUCGGAUGCUCAACUGACUGAGCCACCUAGGUGCCCCUAUUCUUUAUUGCUGAAUUUUAUUCUGUUGUAUGAAUAUACCACAUUGUACUUAUUCACUCAUUAGUUUAUGGAAAUUUGGGUUGUUUCAACUUUCUGGCUAUCAUGAGUAAUAUUGCUAUGAACAUUCAUCUCCAAGUUUUUCAUAUAUUUUCAUAUAUCUUGGGUGUGUACCUAAGAGUGGAAUUCUGGGUUAUAUGGUAACUAUGUUUAACCUAUCAAGGAAUUGCCAGACUGUUUUCAAAAGCAGCUGCAUCACUGUGUAUUCCCACCACCAUCAGGGGUCCAAUUCCCUCCAUAUCUUCACCAACGCUUGUUGGUAUGUGUCUUUCUUUUUAAGUUUUUAUUUAUUUUGAGAGAGAGAGAGAGAGAGCACAAGCAGGGGCGGGGCAGAGAGCAAGAGAGAGAGAGAGAGAGAGAGAGAAUCCCAAGCAGGCUCCUCACUGUCAGCACAGAGUCCUAUGCAGGGCUCAAUCUCACAAACAGUGAAAUCAUGACCUGAGUCAAAAUCAAGAGUUGGGUGCUUAACCGAUUGAGCCAUCCAGGCGCUAAGCUAUAUGUCUUUUUUAUUACAGCCAUCUAAUAAGUCUGAAAUGGCAUCUUUUUGUGGUUUAGGUUUUCAUUUCCCUGAUAGCUAAUGAUAUUGAGAAUCCUUUCAUGUAUUUAUUGGCCAUUUGUACAUCUUCUGUGAGUAAUGUCCAUGGAGAUUUAUUGCCUACUUUUAAUUUUUUUAAUGUUUAUUUAUUUUUGAGAGAGACAGAAACAGAGAAAGACAGAGAUAAAGCAUGAGCAUGGGAAGGGCAGAGAGAGAGAAGGCACAGAAUUGGAAGUAGGCUGCAGGCUCUGAGCUGUCAGCACAGAACCUGACGUGGGGCUCGAACUCACAAACCAUGAGAUCAUGACCUGAGCCGAAGUUGAACACUCAGUCGACUGAGCCACCCAGGCACCCCCAUUGCCUACUUUUAAAUUGAAUUAUUUAUUGAUUAUUGAUCUGUAAGGGUUCUUUAUAUUAUACAUAAAUCCCAUAAGAGAGAUACAAUUUGAAAAUAUUUUUUCCCAUUCUGCGAGUUGCUUUUUCACUUUCUUGAUGGUGUCUUUUGAAACACAAAUGUUUUAAACUUUGAUGGAGUCCACCAUAUUCAUUUAUCUUUCAUCACUUGUAUGUAUCUAAGACAACAUUACCUAACUUGAAGUCUACAAAGAUUUAUUCUCAUAUUUUCUUCUGAGACUUGUAUAAUUUUAGCUUUUACGUUUAAGCCUGUGAUCUAUUUUGAGUUAAUUUUUGUCUAUGCUGUGAGGUAAGGUUCUAGCUUCAUUGUUUUGCAUGUGAAUAUCAGUUGCCCCUGUGCCAUUUGUUGAAAAGCAUAUUCUUUUCCCCCACUGAAUUGCCUCUUCAUCCUUCUUGAAAAUGCAUUGACAAUGAAGGUUUACUUCUGGAUUAUCAGUUUAUUACAUUGAUCUGUUUGUCUAUCUGUAUGGCAAUACCACACUUCAUUACUGUAGCUUUGUAGUGAGUUUGAAAUCAAGAAGUGUGAGUCUUGAAAUUUCCUUCUUCUUUUUCAAGAUGGUAUUGCCUAUUCUGGGUCCCUUCAUUUUUAUACGAAUUAUAGGAUUAGCUUAUCAAUUUUUGCAAAAAUUUCAUUGGAAUUUUAACAGGGGUUGGGUUGAAUCUUCAGAUCAAUUUAGGGGGCAUUGCCAUGUUACCAAAGAAGAUCCAAUACAUGAAAGUGGUGUGUCUUUCCAUUAAUCUAAGUCUUCUUUAAUUUCUUUCAACAGUCUUUUGUAGCUUUCAGUGUAUGAGUUAUAUACUUCUGCUAAACUUAUUAAGUAUUUUAUCCUCUGACACUAGUGCAAAUGCAGUUGUUUUCUUCAUUUUCACAUUGUGCAUUGUUAGGGUACAGAAAUACAAUUGAUUUUUAUAUAUUUGUCUUGCGUCCUGAAGCCUUACUGAACUCAUUUAUUAAUGGGUUUGAAUAUUUUUGGUUGUUUGUUUACUGCUUAGGAUUCUUAAAUAUAAGAAAAAGUCACCGGUAAAUAGAGAUAGUUUUAUUUCUUCCUUUGCAGUCUGGCUGCAUUUUCUUGCCUAAUUGCCUCGGCUAGACCCUCCAGUAUAAUGUAGAUAGAAUUGACAAAAGUGGACGUUGAUUUUCUUAUUCCUGAACUUUGGGGGAAAGCAGUCAGUCUUUCGCUGUUAAGUAUGAUGUUAGCUGUGGGUUUUUUUGCAGAUGCUUUUUAUCAGGUUAAGGAUAAAAGGGGUGUUGGAUUUUUUAAAAUGCUUUGAUUGGACUGACUGAGAAACAGCUUGUCCAGAAGCUUUCAUACCUUCAAAUCAUCUCUCUUUCCUGUUUCUCCAUCCCUUUCUCAUAAGCACACAGGAUCACAAUGAAAGCACAUUAGAUACAACCUAUUAAAAACUGUGAGUAAUGUCCGUGGAGAUUCUCCACAGGAUGGAUGGGAUGAAAGAACAUUCAAGACCUCUUGAUUCCAGUUAUCCUUGUACAUGGUUGCUCUUUACUAGAGGUGGCCAAUCGAAAUCAACUAUCAAUGGUUUUACAAGAAUGGAAGGGAACUACGAUGUGUAUACUCCCUAAUUUUCUCUUCCCCGUACUCACUGUAGAUGGAAAAUAUUAAUACCCAAGGAGAGGCUUGUGCGGGAAGUAAAGGAUAUCAAGGGCGUGUGUGUCUGAAAUGAACCAGAAAUAUAAACAAACUUUAUUUACACAACCCUUUCUGUGUGAGCUUCCGCAUUUUGAAAAUACUGUUUCUGGUUCAUCUUCUCAGGCCUCUCUUGUCUCUUUUUCUACUUCAGGAGUCUGGCUGGUGACCAUCUUGCCCGCCUCCCUCACGUGUGUGAGCUAUCUGUUCCACAUACUGGCCUGUUACAGGUAAGAGGGCUCUGGGAGUCAUUUGUGUGUCUUCAGCCAGUACUUUUCUAAAAAUUCCGGAGCAGUGACAGCAGUACCCAAAUUGGAACCAGGAAGGUGUACAUGGUCCAGGAACAGCCUCAUUGAUCGGUAAUAAAACAAAACCCAAAAUGAAAACACUAUUGAUUUGAGCUUCUACCCUAAGCUCGAUAUUGUGCUUGAAUCUUUUGAUUUUCACUACAACCGUGAGAGGUAGUUUCAGCUCUGUUUUUACAGCUGAGAAGGCUGAGACUCAACAAAAUAACUCACCCAAGCCGUUAGCAGCUGGCCAUGUCCUGAGAGGUCUUGUCACUUCUGCUACACUCAGCAUCCCUAUUGGGUGUCAGGCCUGCCCCGCUCUCCAGGACUAAACACACUGGGUUCCCAGCAGGUGCAUCUGGCUCAAGGAUACAUCAAAGGAGAUCGGGUCAAGGGCACCAGGUGCAUCAGUCUCUAGAAGAGCAGAGCAGGAGGAGGGGAUGGCCUUCAGUAUGUAGUGAGCACUCCACUGCAGACAGCAGUAUCUGCCAUCCCUCCUCUCUGUCUCUCAGUUCCUUCUUCCCUCCACCUCAGGCUGUAACUCAUAUGCAGUCACAGGAGGCCCAGGGCCAACUCCUACCCUUCCAAAGCAUCCUGCCUUUACAUCCUCCCCAUCUGGCUGCACAAAGGGUGGGUCUCUGGCAGAUCGCAUCCUGGCACAAAGAGGCCCCAGCUCUCCAUCACAGCCCUAGCUUGCUCCCUCUCUCUGCUUUCUUCUCCCCAGACCCCAUGGGUGGGCUGGACACUGCUGCUCUCCCCUUCCCUGCCUGAUGCAAGGAUAUGUCUGCUCCUCCCUUCAUUGACCUGCAAGUGCCUAGGAGAUGAUUAGUGAGACAUUGGACCACAGCCAGUCACAGACACCUUUUAGAGCUGGCUGCACUGACAUGGUAGAGGGCCCAGGGAAGAGAUGGCUUCUGUGGUGGGGAGGCUUCUCUGGUGUCCAGGCUGGCCCCUCCUUCCCACACCUGUCACAGAGGAAUGAUGAUCCCUGCCCUGUCUGCUUUACAGGACCAUGGGGCAAAGGAAAUAGUGGAUAAGAAAGUCCUUCAAGUGGACAGCACUAGCACUGUGCCAGUAUUUUUAUUUUUCUUAGAAUUAUUACAACCUAUAUACAGCCUCUUUUAAAAAAUGUUAUAAAAAAUAUUUAGUGUAAAGCAAGUCUGAAGUCAUUCAGACUCAAGUUUGUUGCCCCAGAGCUAAACGUUAUUCAUUUUCUGUUUCCCCCCAGAAAUUGCCUAUGCACCAUGCAAAUAUAUCUGUGUGUUUGUAUUCCUGAUGGCAUACUCUACUCCAGUGUUGCCGAGCCGAAACAUAAUAAAAACCACAGAUGCAAUUUUGAAUUUUCUAAUAGACAUGAGUAAAAAGUAAAAAAGGAGAUGAAAAUAAUUUAAUAACAUAUUUUAUUUAACCCAACAUAACCCCCAACCAUCAUUUCAUUGUGUAAUAAAUAUACAAACUAUUAAUGAGAUAUUUACAUUCUUUAUUUCAUACUAAGUCUUGCCAAUUUAGUGAUUAUAAUGUUGCAAAACCUCCUGGAAAAUGCUGGAUAUAGAAUGUUAGAGGAAAAGUGGGACACAGAUGUAAAUGGGGGUUGUGAACAUAACCACUGCCAACCUAAUCUUCGUGCCGAGGGCCAGGCCGAGACCAGCACGUGGGGAAAGCAUGCAGAGGUUUGCUGGGGGGCUGGGCUUCUCCGUUUCCUUGAUGUUGCUAUAAGGUGGGUCUAUCAUUAAAAACAGUUUUCCAUUUUUACCUAUUUUGAAAUAUUAUUACAUGAGUAGUACAUACACGUCACAGAAAAAGUAAUAGAGCAAAUUGAAGAAAAUAAAAGCCACACAGAGACUCCACUAUCACAUUCAGUCACCAUUGAGAUUUGGGAACUAUAUAAUAUUAAGAUUUUUAAAUCGUCAGGGAAAUCAUGUCAAGACCAUGGUGAGGUAUCGCUUCACACCUGUUGGAAUGGAUAGUACCUAAAAGACAAGAAAUAACAAGUGUUGGCAAGGAUGUGGAAAAAAAGGAACUCUCGUGCACUAUUGGUAGGAAUGGAAGUUGGUGCAGCCACUGUGGAAAACAUUAUGAUAGAACUUCAUAGUUCUAUCAUAAAUAGAACUACAUAUGAUCUAGCAACUCCAUUUCUGGGUAUUUAUCUGAAGAAAACAAAAACAGUAUUUAGAAAAGAUAUUUGCACCCACGUUUAUUGCAACAUUAUUUUCAAUAUUCAAGAUAUAGAAACAACCUAAGUGUCCUUUGAUGGAUGAAUGGACAAAGAAGACACGUCACACACACACACACACACACACACACACACACACACUGGUAUACUAUUCGGCCAGAAAAAUGAGUGCAAUCUUGCCAUUUGCAGUAACAUGGUUGGAACUUGAAGGCAUUAUGCUCAGAGAAAGACAAAUGCUGUAUGAUCUCACUUAUAUGUGGAAUCUGAAACAAAACAAAACAAAAACCCAAGCUAUAGAUACAAAGAACAGAUUUGAGGUUUUCAGAGGUGGGGAUAGGGGGUGGGUGUGGGUGAAGGGAAUCAAAAGGUACAAGCUUCCGGUUAUAAAAUAAAUGUCAUGGGGAGGUACUCUACAGCAUGAUGACUAUAGUUAACAGCACCAUAUUGCAUAUUUGAUAGUCGCUAAGAGUAGAUCUUAAAAGUUCUAAUCACAAGAAAAAAACUUGUAACUAUGUGAGGUGAUGGAUGUUAACUAGACUCCUGUGGUGACCAUUUUUCAACAUGCACAAAUAUGGGAUCAUUAUGUUGUACACCUGAAACUAAUGGAGUGUUAUAUGUCAAUUAUAUCUCAGUUUAAAAUGUAUUUUAUUUUAUUUUAUUUUUGUAUACUUUAAGAGAGAAAGCGCACACACGCACACAAACGGGAAGAACAGAGGGAGGGAAAGAAUCUUGAACGGGCUCCACGUUCAGUGCAGAACCUGACAUAGGGCUCGAUCCCAGAACCGUGGGAUCAUGACCUGAGCCAAACUCAAGAGUCGGACUCUCAACCAACUGAGCCACCCAGGUGCCCAAAACGUAUUUUAAAAAUAUUUUUAAGGCUAGUGAGAACUGUCCCACGAGCCGCGGUCAAUACAAGGAAGCUGAGCUGGCUUCUAUCUCCCUCUGCAGGCUUUUCUGUUGGCAUCUGUUGAGCUCUAAGGACAUAAGGAGCUGUGGUUAUGAGCAUCACUGAUUCCCCACUUUUUCUCUAGAAAGCACAUUAAGAGGCUGUGGGCAGGAAAUAAACACUUUCUCCCUUUGAAGUUCCAUCAUCCUUCCUCCUCGAAGAGUGUGGUAAGUCUAUGGAGGCCUGUCUCUGCUCUGAGACUAAGUGGCCAAGUCCUGCUCUCCUGCCUCUUAGGCAGGGGCAGCAUCUGGGGGGAGGGACAGCCCUGCACUGGGCAUCCAGAGUCCUCAAUUCUAGUAUACUCUGCUGCUGGGUGACCCAGGAUAGUCACUAUCCCCAUCUGGCCCUUGGUUUCUUCAUCUGUAAAACAAUGACAGUCAUGGCAUCUGCCCUGGUAUGUUGGUGGGUGAACCUCAAAUGAGGCAGAGAUUCUGGACCCAUAUAUUGGAGGUAAUCAGUGUUUUCACCCCUAUGAGACCCCUUUUCCUUUUUAAAUCUCAGGUGGCCAUUGCAAGGUACUCUGGCUGGCAAAUAGCCUAUAUUCUGUGGGGUAAGUGUCAUCAUGUGACCCAUUCCCUGGGCACCUAUGGGGUCCUGGCUGUGGGGAGAGAGAAGAGAGGUGAGGAAGAAGGAGGUGGGGGGUAGGUAUGGGUAAAGGGAAUCACCCACCUUCCUUCAGGAAGGAGGGAGAAUCCCACACUCACAAAGCUAUCAUUACUACCUGCCCGAAGCCCAUGGGGCAGAAAUGAUAAAGGUGGUGGUGACUUAGAGGAGCAAGUGACUCUCCCAGGCAGGACACAAAUGCUUUCUAGUGGAGUUGACAUUUGAACUGCAGGGCGAGCCGCAGGUGAGCGGGAGGAAAAGGGAGGUCGUGCCAGGCAGAAGAAGCUGCAUAAGCAAAAAUGCCAGGACCUUUGGUGGGAGGAAGAUAGAGGGGCUCUGCAGGAAGUCAUGACUGGGUCGCGAAGGGCCUUGAGUGACCGUGGGUUCCCUUGGUCCACAGGCUACCUCAUCAUCCACGUGGUACAGAGCCUGUGUGGCCUGAUGAUCAUGUACAGCCUGGUGUUGCCUGUCGUCCACAACCAGGGCCUGGAGAUGCUCCAAGGACUGGGCAUCGGGACGUAAGUGCAGGGUGGGCUCUCUGUCAUUGCCCAGGGCCUAGGCACUGGUGUAGCCUCGAAGCUGCUGUUGGGCUCUCACCCAUUCCUGGACCGACACUCUCAGCUCAGACCCAAGGAUGGGCCACAAUAGCAACUCAUCACAAUGGGAGCCUUACAGUUCAUAAGACAUUUCCAUUCUCACUGUUCAGUGGGGUGCUCACAGUUGUGUCUGGGGGGGGACACACACAUAUCCAUUGUAUAGCUGGGAAGGUUAAAGUUCAGGGAGGUGACAAGGGAGUUCGGACACUACAGAGGGAAUCUGAGUUCAGGUUUGAGAUCAGCUGUGUGACCUUGGGUAAAUUACUUCUCUGAGCCUCAGUUUAUCCCAUAUGGAAGAUAAGAGUGAAGGCUGACGUCGUAACUGAUAAUUCACUGUGCAUCUUUUCUCUUAAGAACCCUUUAAAGGCUGGGCCUCAUAUUAACACCCAUUUGUCAGACAAGGAAACAGAGGCACAGAAGGCUAAGUGAUUUGUCCAAGGAGGGGAAGAGGCAGGGUUGGGAGCUAGCGAUCUGAAGCCGAGGCCCCAUUUAACUGCCACCCACACUGCUGCUCAGGCGAUGCAAACACAGGAUGUGGCACUCUCCGGGGACCUCCCUGCUCUGAGCUCCUUGGUUCCACACUCCCCCAAAGCUAUGUGGGAGGCUGGGCAGAGCCUGCCCGUCCACUUUCAGGACUUUCAUGAGCGCUUUAAAAACUUCAUGCUUUUCUUUGAUUCCCAUGCUGUUAAACACUCAUCCCAGCUGCCACUCGUGGACAAAGGGAUAUAAUUAAAUCCUGGAGUUCUAGUAUGGAGCCAAACGACCUGACUGUGUGACUUUGAGAAAGUCACCUCCCCUUUGUGAGCCUCCGUUUUCUCAACGGACAGCGGGUGUGCAUCAAGCACAGAGCAGGUGCCGCAACAGUCUCGCCCUGUGUUUCAGCCUCACCAUAUCCAUCGUCCUGGGUCUCAUGAUCCUGCAGGUAUGGAUCGCCACCAGCUUCUUCCUGCAGCCAAAGAUGAGCACGGCUGACAAGCAGAAGCCCUUGGCUCUCAACAACAGGUGAGGGCAAAGAAGGAAAUGGGGCUUGGGGGCCUUGGCUUCAGCAGUCUCUCCUUCCUUCCUCUUCACCCAUGGCAGGUUCCUGGGGGGACAGUGCCCUCUCUGAGAGGGUGAGGGGCCGUGGCUCAGGAGUGGGCUCUGGAACCAAACCGCCUGGGUCCAAAUCCUGGCUCCACCCCUUAUGAACUGUGUGACCUUAUGUGACCUUACUGAACACCUACGAACCUAAGUUUCGUCAUUUUACAAAUAAUUGCACACUCCUCACAGAGGUAUUCUGAGAAUGAGAUGUGUUAAAACAUGAACUUAGAACAACAGUACCUGGCUCAUGGUGAUCCUUUGGAACUCAUUCAUUUGAAGCCAUUCACUCGGGGAGGAAACAACAGGGGCACUGGAGAUUAAAGAGAUAUUCCUACGUGACCUGCCUGCAGAAGCUCACGGUCCACAGGAGCCAACAGACACAGUCACGUGGCCCCAGUACACUCCAGACGGUGUGAAAGGCUCAUAAGAGCAGCACAGGGAAUGGAGAAAGAGAGACGGGGUGGUUCAUUCAGCUGCAGGUGGGGAGUUUGAGCUGAGGUCGUAGGGUGGUGGGAUUCCUAUAGGGAGAGCUGAGGAGAGGGCAUGGCCAGCAGCCCUCACUGCACAGAUGAAGGUAGGAAGCCAUAAAAGGGCAAGAUGUGUUGAGAGAACCGUGAGAAUCCAAUAUGGUGACCAUGCAGUGGUCACCAUAGGUGGUGAGGGGCAGGGAGGAGGCACAAAGUGAUGAUCCCAGAAAGGCCCUUCUCAGAGAUGGCCCAGAAAUCCAGCUUUCUAUGGGCUUUAUCCCAUAGGCAACAGGAAACUGCAUGGUCAAGUGGUCACUUGAAAAGUUUCCUCUGGAGGACUUGGAACAGUUCCAGCUGGGGGCAGGUCACUGUUACAACAGACAGUGGGAAAGCCACAACCUCUGCUGUAACCACAAAGCCAGCUGUGGCCACAUGAGAUUCCUUCCCAUACAGGAAACCUCAAAACCCAAGGAUCCCAUGAAACAUCACAGUCUCCGCUUGUCCUGCACUGGGCUCAGCGCCUUCUAUGUGGUGUCUGAGCCAGUCCCCACAGCAGUGCUGUGUGGUAGGGACAGUCAGCUCCCAGUUACAGCACAAGGUCACAGGGCUGGGAAAUGGGAGCAGCAGGAUUUGAUCACAGGCAUGGGGCGCUGAACCAGCCUGCUAGCCACUUCCUCAUACUGAAACGGUGCUGCCCGUCUGCCUGCUUCCGUUUGCAGGAAAGCCUUCCACAACUUCAACUACUUUCUGUUCUUCUACAACGUGCUCCUGGGCCUGGGCGCCUGCCUCUCCAGGCUGCUCAUCAGCUGCAUCCUGGGCACGUGGCUGAUUGCCCGCAUCGACAGGACCAUCAUGCAGAAUGGCUAUGAGGGUGCAGACAUGGGUAAGUGGCCGGUCCCUGAGGCCACGCAUUGAGUCAGGUGGAGGGGACUAGUCUUGUACCUUUGUGGUGCCUGCAGGCUGGGUACCAGAGGCCUGGACUUCACACUCUUUGCCUCAGAGCUCAGCUUCUCAUGGAGGCUAUAAAGCUGAGUAGCAAAAAACAUUCAGGGGGUUCCAGGGUGGCUCAGUCGGUUAAGCGUCCAACUCUUGAUUUCGGCUCAGGUCAUGAUCUCAUGGUUCAUAAGAUCGAGCCCUGCAUCGGGCUCCAUGCUGACAGUGCGGGGCCUGCUUGGGAUUCUCUCUCUACCCCUCUCCCUAGCUUGCUCUCUCUCUCUCUCUCUCUCUCAAAAUAAAUAAAUAAACUUAAAAAAAAAAAAAGAAAAAGAAAAACACAUUCAGCCUAAUGGUCAGAAGAGAAUUUAGGCAAGUAAAUUGCUGCAUAUUUGACAGACCUUCAAGAUAUCAUGGAGAGCAGUAAGAAGUACUAGAAAUUCCAUCUGAACAGUCAGAAUGUAAAUAUGAAUGCACAGCUCUGAAAAUUUUGAGAAAGAACACAUCUCGGAAUGACUGAUGUGUCAUUAGUUGGAAACCUAACUUAGUUAAGAAAACGGUCUGUUCAGUUGAAAUAGUCUAAAAUCAAGCCAUUGCUGUAGAGCGAAAGUAGCUUUUGUCUUAUUUCUGACCUGUGUCCAGUCAUUCACUCGUCCAUUCAUUGUAGGACUGACAGCCUCUCCGUAUCAGCCACAGCUCUCCUUCUGCUUUGAGCUUCACAUUCUCCAUAACAUGGUUGGAUUAGAAUGCUAUCUUAAGAACCCUUCCUGCUCUUCCGACCUAAUUUUCUAGGUUCUCAGUGAGAACGUGGGCACCAUAUAGGAACAAAGUGGCAUUGCAGCCACAUCAUCAAGAGCACGAGCUCGGGCAUCCUGGGACACAGGGCAUACUGCAUGGCCUGACUUGCCUUCUGGGUUUCAGGGUUCAGCGCCUGGAUUGGCAUGCUCUAUGUGGAUCAUUAUCAUACCAACCCUGUGCUCGUCAGCUUUUGUAACAUCCUGAUCACAGGGCACAGGGAGCGGAGGCUGCAGCAGGCCAUCAAAUACUGGUGCCUAAAUCAGUCAGCAGGUAAGGCUCUGUCUGAACCUAUGUUGGGGUUGGACAAUAGGGAACAAGUACCCUAAGGCUUCUCUGGGAUCUCUGAGAUGUUCCAGCUUCCCCUUUCCCUGCCCCCCUUCCUCCAUACUUCCUGCCCUGGGAGACCUUUGACCUGAGAGAACAGGAGGCUUAGUCUUCAGCCAGCCUGGCCAUGGGACCCCUGAGGUCUGGUGUCCUUGUCCUUCUAAGUGGGCUCCUCCCUUGUUCCCAGAAGUGAGCUCUAGUUCACUGUCUGAGUUCACUCUUCCAUUUGUUUGAGACCCCGCCCAUAUCCCAGGGUUCAGAACAGAUGCUCUCCAAGAUGGGGCUCAGUUUUGCUUACCACAAGUGCUUCUGGCCCCCAACACCUGCCUCCUCAAGGCUCUAUAACCGUCUACUCCACCCCUCCACCCCUACUACUCUGCUCUGCCUUCUGCUGGGAAGCCCACCAAUUAGUCAUGUUUUGUGGGCACCAGUCUGGAUUAAGUUCAUCACUGUUCCCAACUAUAUCCAGCUAUAUCCAACAGAUAUCCGGCUCUGGGACAAACUCAUGUCCCUUCUGCCACCCUCAUGUCCCCAGGGGUCCUGGUCCAGCUCCUUCUCCCACACCUCACACCUACCAGUCAGCUUCUCCAAUAGCCUCUGAGAAGGACAGAGACAAGCCCUGUCCUCCAGGUCUGUCUGCUCUGAUUCUCUCCCAGGUCCCCGAGUCUCAGCCAGGUCCAGGACGCGGUGGCUUCUGCUGCAGACCCUGGUCAACAAUCCCAAACUAGUCAUGCUCAGAAAAUCAAGACCAGGUCAUAGCUCCCGGGAGUUUGCCCAGAUUCUUUUGAUGGGCUCAGAGAGCUGACAGUGACCUCCGACCUUGCUAUAAGGCCAUUCCAGGAUGACUGCUCCAGAGAGGACCCGGGCUACCCAGCCGCUGUCCCCUGCAUUGUGACAGGAUGCACAGUCACUGUCCACUGCAUACAGCACCAGACACUCGUGGAUGGCACCUGGGCUGAACCAUGAAGUCUCAGCCCUAAUAAUUCACUCCCCUGGUAAAAAGCUCAAGAACUAAAGAGAAUUUCUGUUGAACAAUCUUUUCUCAAUGAUUUCCACUAUCGAUGGUUAGGAGGCAGCCUUGGGGAGUUCCAUAUGGACAAACAGUUUGACCACAGGGCAGAACUUUGUGUCAAUGAAGAAUGUGGUAAAAUGGCUAUCUAUACCAGGAGAGUUUAACUAUUGGACACAGUUGUUCUCUGGGAGACAAUGUGGCCUUAAUCCAAUAGGAUCCUCAUUGCUCCCCCACUUUCCAGGCCUCCUGGUGGUGGGAGAGACCCCAGCCUCUAAUCUGGUAGUGUGAGCAGGCACACAUUGGGCUCUUCCUGCCAUGGCCACUGGGAUGGAGAACAGAUCAGAACUGACCUGGGUCUUGGGCACAAAGAAGAUAUACACAUCUGACGAGGAGGGGAUCCCCCAGGAAAGCUGCCUAUCUGCGGAGGCAGAGAUGGGGGUGUGCAGGCAUUCUCCUUGGAGGACAACAGAGCAAAGGAGUGGGAGCAGGAGAGCCCCAGGCAUGUUGGAGGAGGGGAGGCCUCUGGUGUUUGCAGUGCAGGGAAUCAGGGGUGGGUUAGACCACCUAGGGAGGCUCAGACUCCAGGCUGGGAGGCCUGGACAUUUCUCUGUGUGCAGAGGGCCCAGUCCUCACCCUGAGUCUUCAUACCCUCGUGUAAGGUCUCUGAUGGUUCAGGGCUUGUACAAAGUGACCAAAGUCAUGCAGCUUGUGCAAGUGCCAGGAGGACAUACCAACAGGGUAAGGGAAGUCCCCCAUCCACCUCAUGAGUCCCAGAGCCAUUGAAGUUCAGUAAUCACAUUAAGCAUCUACUGUAAACCUAGUCCUAUUGCUAGACGUGUCUGCCAGACUCAUCUCUUUUAAUUUAACCUUUGCGACUAGACUUUGUCACUCUGCUUUCAGAAACUGAGAAAACUGUGACUGGCGUGUCGGGAUCCCCACAUGACCACUUCCAGCUGUGUAACACCAGCUAAACUCCUUUGCCUUUCUGUGCUGCUUUUUCCUUAUGAAUAAAAAGGGCAAUACCUGGGCACCUGGGUGGGUCAGUUGGUUGUGCGUCCAACCUGAGCGUCGGCUCAGGUUAUGGUCCCAGGGUCGUGGGAUGGAGCCCUGCAUCAGACUCUGCACUGAGCAUGGAGCCUGCUUAGGAUUCUCUCUCCCUCUCCCUUUGCCCCUCUCCCCUGCUCUCUCUCUCUCUCUCUCUCAAAAAAAAAAAAACAAAAAAACAAAACAAAAAACAAUACCUGCAACACCCAAAAUUAUUUUGAGGAUAAAAUGAGUUAAUACAUGCAAACACUCCUAAGUUAGUGCCUGAUACAUCCUAAACUGAAUAAAUAUCAGUUAUUGUCAUUUUCAUUGUUUCACUUCGUGAUGAUGUGAUUAAUGUCUGUUCACCUCACUAUGCUCUCAGCUGCAUGAAGAAAGGAGCCU